GACGAACGCUGGCGGCGUGCCUAAUACAUGCAAGUCGAGCGGACCAAAGGGAGCUUGCUCCUGGAGGUUAGCGGCGAACGGGUGAGUAACACGUGGGCAACCUGCCUGUAAGACUGGGAUAACAUCGAGAAAUCGGUGCUAAUACCGGAUAAUAAAAAGAACUGCAUGGUUCUUUUUUGAAAGAUGGUUUCGGCUAUCACUUACAGAUGGGCCCGCGGCGCAUUAGCUAGUUGGUGAGGUAACGGCUCACCAAGGCGACGAUGCGUAGCCGACCUGAGAGGGUGAUCGGCCACACUGGGACUGAGACACGGCCCAGACUCCUACGGGAGGCAGCAGUAGGGAAUCUUCCGCAAUGGACGAAAGUCUGACGGAGCAACGCCGCGUGAGUGAUGAAGGUUUUCGGAUCGUAAAACUCUGUUGUUAGGGAAGAACAAGUGCCGUUCGAAAGGGCGGCACCUUGACGGUACCUAACGAGAAAGCCACGGCUAACUACGUGCCAGCAGCCGCGGC
rnacentral:rRNA from 1 species